rnacentral:tRNA from 2 species
GGGAUUGUAGCUCAACGGUUAGAGCGCCGCCCUGUCACGGCGGAGGUUGCGGGUUCAAAUCCCGUCAGUCUCG